AUUAAUCCCCAUCAUGAGGUCUCUGCCUUUGUGAUCUAAUCUGUUCCCAGAGGCCCUACCUCCUAAUGUUUAAGGUUUUGGAUUAUCACACAUGAAUUUUGGGGAGACGAACAUUUUGACCAAUUUCCUCACUAAGAACAUCAUCCUCAGCAAACUGACACAAGAACAGAAAAUGAAACACCGCAUAUUCUCACUCAUAGAUGGAGUGGUACCUGCAAGUGGCAAGAACAUCAUACUCUGGUCUGAUUCAGACUCAGUGCACUUUCCUUAUAGCAUCCAAUGUCCAGCUUCAGAAUAUCAGCUUUUUAGCAUUUAUCGUCACCUUGCCAAGAGCAGCCCAGCAGCCCAGAAAACUCCCCAAUCUGGAACCUAUGACAUUGAAAGUGCUUUUUCUAUAGUUAAUACAAUCCAAGCAGUAACAUUUAUGAUGGGAAAAUAAAAGGGUGAAGAAGUUGUCCUUUAUCUAUAAAUAAAGUGUGUGAUUUUAGGAUAGGAUAGCA
rnacentral:lncRNA from 13 species